UCCCAAGUCUCCCGGAAGUUCCGGGAGUCUCCCGCAUAUUGAUAGCGGCUCCCUGAUGCCCGCAAAUUAGUUAAAAUCUCCCGGAAUCUAGAGCGAGCGAGCAAGAGCGCGCAUAGAGACUGUGUUUCAAACCAGCGCGCGCACGGCAGAGAGGGAUAGGGAGCGAGAGAGAGACCUUGCGUGUGUGUGCGAAGCGCAUGUAUGACAGAGAGCGUCCCGAAUGUCCUUUUUCGGCAAAUCAACCAAUCAAUUAUCAGUGAGCCAAAGGAUAAUUUCUCUUUAAGGACCCCGUGACAGACGUUUUUUUUUCUGACGUCAUGACUCACGAGGCUUUCUCGAGUUUUCUGCUCGGCCACCAUUUUCUUUCCCCUGGACUCGGAUGAAUUAAGGAUCUAACAUAAAGCUCUUCAAUGUUUGACGACUAAGGACACAUUGCAAUAACUUUACAUGUGACAUUAGCCAUUGACAUUAAAUUAAUCACAGAAGAUCACAGUUCCAGCUAAAAAUCUUUACUGUUCUACUGAAGAAAUAAAAAAAAAGUCAACUUGGAUGGCCUGAUGACUGAAAACAUUCACCUGAGAAGUGUGUCCUGAAAGCCCUUAUCCUUUUCCUGAGAGAAAGUCCUGCAGACCUCAUCAAGGAGUACUUUCUGAGUUGAAUGAUAACCAGACAGAUGAUUGAGGAGCAGCUCACCAUGGCAAUGUUCAUUAUUUGGAAGGAGUGGGAGAACUUCAUGAACCAUCUGCUGACAUUGAGGGAGUUAAAGUUUUGAAUCAACUUACUUCAGUUACAUCAGCUUGUGCCCUGCUUCUAGGCCUACAGUUGGAAGCAGCUAUUCUCCUCUUGCCUGCACUGUUCAAGGUGGACCUGGGGUUGCUGUUUGACAUUGAGGGCCAUGCUCAGACCAGCCCUCCUGUCAUCCCAACACUUAAGAAAAUGCCUAAAGCCUGCGGGAGGAUCAUCUCAUGCAGUAUGACCACAUUUUGUUCAUGUUGGAUGGCCAGUUAAUCACAGAGUAGAGUGAGGACAUCUUGAUGGCACUGGGCCUCCUCCUAUGUGUAUAUUUUGCAUUUGGAAUCGAAUCCAAUCCAGUAUCCUAAAGGACUGAAAGACACUGACCUUUUUGAAGUGUGUUGUUUUGAAAUUGAAGGAUGCAGUCGGACUUCCUGUCACUGUAAAAUGAGUGUACAACUCAAUCUGUGAGUAGAAUUUCGGAGUCAAUAUUCUCUCUUGCUCCCUUUCUUAUGGUUUUAGUUCCAGUUUCUAUAUUGUUUUUGAAAUCAUGAAGGACUUACAAAAAUGUUAGUGCGCUGUUGACAGUGAAAGAAACUGCAGGACUUCAGAGCAUAACUCAGUAUGUAAAAACAGGAGUAUUGUCUUCAAAAAUGUACAUAUUUCAAGCUUGUUCCAUUAUUUUGUAUGUGUAUAAAAGGGGAGUAUAAUGUGAUGUGGUACAUGUAUAUUCCCUGACUUGUCAGCACUGAGUUUAUUUGCUGCUGAAAGAAAUAAAUUAAAAGGUUUUGAAAGUG